UCAGGUUUUGUGCUUUCAGUGUUUAGUGACACAGAGACUAUUUUGUGCUGUGGUGGUUAGAUCACUUUGGUUCAAGAGAACACAUUGGCACAAGCCUCCCUUUGAGAGCUUUUGUGUGUUGCUGGCUCUUGAGGGAGGAGAACCAUGCCCUGAGGGAAGGCAAUACACGAGCAGCUUCGGAUGAGAGUGGCUCACUUCAAAAGCAGGUGAAACAAGUUGGGACAAUUUUGAAGACGUUUGCUCACACUGGGAAAUCAGGUGUGUUACCUGAAAGGAGCAUCUGACCGUGAAGGCGGAAAAAGGCGCCGCACAGCUGAGAGGGACCCACAGCUGACCCCUUAAACCUAGGCUGACUACUGACACCCCAGCAUCACUGAACUGGAACACUUUGUUUAUCCUGCAGUCAGUAACAUCAAGAAGCCAGAAGUGCCAGAUUACACUCACCCAAUCCACACUGUUCACUGUGGAAAUAACUUUUUUUUGUAUUUUAACUUUAGUAUUGGCUUAUUUCAGUGCUUAACG